rnacentral:lncRNA from 1 species
CUGUGCAGAAGCCUGGGUCCGCUACUGUUGCUCCUGGCGCGUGGGACACUCGUGGACCUACAGGGAGGAGCCCGAGGACGCCGACAGAGAAAUCUGCUCGGAAAACAAAAUCGCGACUACGAAAUACCCGUGCCUGAAGCCCUCGGGCGAGCUCACCACGUGCUUCAGAGCUCGUCUCACAAGAAGUAUUCCUAUCUCCCUGCCUCUUGGGACCAGUACUGAAAGGGAGGAAGAAAUGACCUCAAUACAAUCAAUGUGACAAAGCUAUUUUGGUUGCCCAAAGGACCUCUCUGGCUCACAGGUGAAGUUGAGAAAUGUCUGAAUGCAAUGGAUGUUAAACCAAUCAUGUAGAAAUGUGGGUUAGCAUGGAGCUUACAUAUAGUAUCAGAAUUUAGAGGCAGAAAAUCUUGCAAAUUAUAAGCCAGCACUAAUUACGCUCUAAUUCCUUUACUCUUGGUUCAAGCUUCUGAUCUAGACAAAGGUGUAAUCUUUUCAUUGAACAUUGCCCAUAACCAGAAUUCUUUUCCAGAUGUUCGUUGUCCAUAAUAGGGCCUAAUCCCAGGUCUAAAAUGGAGUGGAAAUCUCCACACCUCUGGCAUCCUUUACCACACCAUACACUUACCUACACCUAGCAUUUGCCCUUCAUUGGCCCUUCAUGUUACCACAGUGGUAGUGACAGGGGCCACAUUAUUGGAGGAAUA